CCUGUACACAGCAACAGAAGAUCAAUCAGUUGCUGCUGUAACAACCUACAGUCUGUGUUAUAAACCUGAGUGCAGUUUUAUCAUCUGAUGAAUCUUCAAACUACUGAACUUCCUGGAUUUUUACAGUGGACAUGUUUUUUUCAUCCAGAUAAUUAAAGGAUUAUUUGAGGAUUCUGGAAACUUUUAAAGAAGCAGAAAGUCUCGUUUGACAAAUCUACAUUUAUUACAUAUAAUGAUGUUUUUAUUUCUCUGUAGUAAUAAAUGCAGUGCCUUGUCCUAAAUAAUGGUCAGGUCAUUAAAUGUUCAGUUUCAGUGUCAUAUGACAGAUUAAGGGUAAUAAUGAGAUAAAUACAGUACUAAUGCUGGUACUAUCGACAGUCACCUACAAUAAUUAUUCAUUAAUAAUUACUUUAUCUGUUUUAAGGACUAAACUUGUUAAAACUCAGAUAGAAAUUCCAGGUUCAGGUCAGGUUGAUCGCCUGGAUAAUAUUUAAUGUACAGACCCGGAAAUUGGUGCGUGUUGUUAUUGAUGAACAGCCGGUGAAAACGUAAUAUCGUACGACCGACGUCCCCUGACCUAUAGCUACUCCCUCUCAUACACCGGAAGGACUCGCUGUCAGGAAACACGCGGAAUGGCUCCAUUCAAAUUUACUCGAUCCGUUGGUUUCAUCGUGUUUAAACUCCUGGUCAUUAUAAAUCUUUUUCCGGUUGCACAAGGUGAGCAAUGUUUGUGUGUGUGUGUGUGUGUGUGUGUGUGUGUGUGUGUGGAUCUGACUACCAUUUUACUUCACUACGCUGACUAACCUAACUAGCCUAGCCUAGCCUAGCCUAGCUUACUCGCAACCUGUCACAGCCACAUUAGCUGUUGAGUGAUGUUUCAGUUGCAGAGAACAUGUCUCUGCUACAGGUGAAUAGUUACAGCAGCUUAUUUCAGCCAACAGUACUUUAGAUGAGACGCUUUGCCUCGCUGGCAGCUGAGGCUGUUGAACGCUGUACGGAGGCUCCAUUAUCGGCCUUGCAUUCACCCCUCCUGCCCUGUUGGUGGCCAGAAAAUACCCCCACGUUAGAGUAGAAGACAUGCUCUAUCCUUUUUUACUGCUGUCAAUGGAUUUUUCUGUUAUUAUUAACUAUUUAUUGCCUUUGUUAGAAAAAACAUGAAUAUGUACAGAUGAGGAAAAUACACAGUGAGCAGAAUCCAGUUUAUUCAGGUAAAGACUCUGCUGUAGGACACUUUUAAAGAGGGAGAGACUCCUCCAGACAGCGAUCAAUUAUAUUAUUAUUAUUAUUAUUAUUAUAGUUGUAUGGAUUCAAAUAUGAUUUGUAUUGCAUACAAGUGCAGAGUGGGAGAGAUCAUUUCUUUAAUUCAUUACUUACAUGUCAAAAUUGUCUCUAAUAUAAAAGUGAAAAUGCUUUAUUUCCCUGAACAACUUUUUCUCUCUGGAUGUUUAUUGUUGGUUUUUAGGGCAACAAGUGAUAUCAGUGAAUCCUGGAGGUGAUGUCACUCUGCCAUGUUCAGCUGGUGAUGGCUCCAUCAGAGCUGUAGAGUGGACCAGAACUGACCUGGAGCCAGAGUACGUCCUCUAUUACAGUGAUGGACACUUAGAUCCAUACUACCAACAUCCAUCCUUUAAGGGUCGGGUGGAUCUGACAGACAGAGAGCUGAAGGAUGGAAACGUGUCUUUAGUUCUAAAGAACGUGAUCAUCAGUGACAGAGGAACAUAUGAGUGUCGAGUUGCUAAAGGUGGUUCAGACAACACAGGCAUCACUGACAGGAAGACAAUCAGAACCAUCCAACUGGAGGUCACAGCCUCAGGUUCCAACAGCAAAAACACCAUGGAUGGAGACUACAAAGACACAGCCAACAUGGAUGGAAACAAACACAUUGGACUGGCAGUUGGACUGAUAGCUUUCGGUCUGAUUUGUUCAGCUGUUGUUGUUGGAAUGGUUCUCUGGAAGAAAAAGAGUAAAUCAGAACCAGCUGCUGAUGAAGCAGUGGGUGAUCAGCUCCUCUGAACUGCCACAGAGCUCUUUACACCUGAACACAUCAUGAUACAACAUUAUUGUCUGUGCUGUUUGAGGCUCUCCGCUGUCUGUACGGUUCAGUGCAAACUAACAAUGUCUCCCCUCUGUGAAUUGCUACCUUAUCGUGGUGGAGGGGUUUGUGUACCCGUUGAUCCUGGGAGCUGUAUUGUCUGGAGCACUCAGCUCCUGGUGGGGUCUCCCACGACAAACUGGUCCCAGGAAAGGGUCAGACUAAAAGGAAUUCAAACAUUCAAUAUCAUUAAAUGAGCCAGGGAUGGAAAAAGUACUACAAUAUUCAGUUCAAGUGAAAUAGUUGAAUUCCUUAACCUGCACUCAGAUACAAGUAGGUAAGUAAGUGUAAGUCAGUAAAACUUUAUUUAUAUAGCACCUUUUUGACAAAGAGAUCCAAAGUGCUUUCCCAACAACAAAUAAACAAACAUAACAACACACAAAAACACAAACAUAGGGAGAAUGUAAAUACAAACAAAGAAAGAAAAAACAAGAGGGAAGGAUAGAUUAAAAGAUACACGACAGAUGAGAAAACAAACAAGGA